UACAUUUAUAUCGUUCUUACCUGUUAUUGUAAAUAUUACAAUAUCUUUACCAUACUUGGCGAUACACAGAAAUGUUGACUUUAUGGCAGGGAAUAUCACACACAGAAUGACACUGCCAUAGUCAAAAUUCGCUAUAACUCAAUAACCACAGUGCGCGAGUGACCAGUGUGCAAUACAGAAGCUGGUUAAAUCACCUCACCGUGUAGCUACCGCGUAGUGAGAAAGUGCAAGAAAGAAGCAACAAUACUGCUGAAGAUGUUUCUAACUUCCAUCAAAGCUGAUUAGAUCUUCAAGAUAAAUCAACAACAUGCAGGAGUUGCAGGGUGACACAAUGCGUGGACUACACAGGUACCAAAUCCAGCAGCAUAAACACCUGCUUCAUGGUUUGGAGCUGGAACGCAGGUACUGUAUGAAGGAAAUCGAGCAACAGCAGAAACGGUACAGCAGAGCUCUGGAGAGACUUAGAUGCAGUGUCUCAUCUCUGGGUUCUAGAACAAACAACCCCUGGAGAUCCACUCAGCCCAGGCUGUCUGAGGCCCAAGCAGCCAGCUGCAGCAUCCUGGUGGAUCGUGUGACUAUGGACAACAAGGCUUUUGAAAAAGCAGAACUGUACUCUGAUACUGGAAGCCCAAGUUCAGACUUUCACAAUUCAUCUAAUGCGGUGAUGAAUAAAGUUUGGUGGAGACAACCGCCUACUUGGGCCACCUUGACGUUUGCGGAUUUAAGACAAAAACACAUGGCAAUAGUGCAAACAACGGAGCCUUUCAGAAGAUGGCAGCACUUGCUUUUGUCAAAUAACUGUCUAACUCAAAAGUCGAGCUUUGGUCAACAGGACCCCUACAACAGUAACACCACAAGAUCUUACAAUUACGUACUGAGAAAAGUGUUUGUUUCAAAUGCAUCCACACAGCAUAUUGAACGGAAAAAACAGACUGAUGCAAGAGAUGAAAAAUACAGAACACAAUAAGCUCCGAACUUUAACCUUUGUGAAAAAAUACUAACAUAAACAGUACCAGUGUAGUGGAAAUGUUGGUCAUAUGCAUAUAUGUAUGUGUAUGAAAUCU